rnacentral:rRNA from 1 species
AUGAACACUGUCGCCGCCCUCGCCGGCGCUGCCGCCCUUUUCGUCUUCAUCACAUCACUACUCCGUCUACGCCACCCACUCCUCGGCGGCUCCAAGAACAAGAGCGCACAGCUGCCGCCGAGCCCCGUCGCCAUCCCCUUCCUCGGCCACCUCCACCUCCUCAAGAGGCCGUUCCACGCCGCGCUCUCCCGCCUCGCCGCGCGCCACGGCGCGGUCUUCUCCCUGCGCCUCGGGUCGCGCCCCGCCGUGGUCGUGUCCUCGGCUGCGAGCGCCAGGGAGUGCUUCACGGACCACGACGUCACCUUCGCCGAUCGCCCGCGGUUCCCCUCGCUGCAGCUGGUGUGCUUCGGCUGCACGACGCUCCCGACGUCCCGCUACGGCCCCUACUGGCGCAACCUCCGCCGCGUCGCCACGGUGCAGCUCCUCUCCGCGCACCGGGUGGGCUGCAUGACCGCGGACAUCGCCAGCGAGGUGCGCGCGAUGGCGCGGCGCCUGUCACGUGCCGCCGCGGCCGCCCCCGGCGGUGUCGCGCUGGUGGAGCUCAAACGGAGCCUAUUCGAGGUGUCCCUUAGCGCCUUGAUGGAGACCGUCGCGCAGACGAAGACGUCCCGCGCCGAGGGAGCCGAGGACACGGACAUGUCGCCGGAGGCACAGGAGUUCAAGGAGUCCCUGGACGAGAUCGUGCCGCUGCUCGGCGGGGCCAACAUGUGGGACUUCCUGCCGGUGCUACGGUGGUUCGAUGUGUUCGGCGUGAGGAACAAGAUCGUGGCUGCGGUUAGCAGGAGGGACGCGUUCCUGAGGCGGCUCAUCGACGCACAGCGGCGGAGGCUGGGCGACGGCGGCAUCGAGGGCGAGAAGAAGAGCAUGAUUGCCGUGCUGCUCGAUUUGCAAAAGACAGAGCCGGAGAUCUACACGAACAAAACGAUCAUGGCUCUGUGCAUGACCAUGUUCAGCGCGGGGACAGAGACCACGGCGACGACGGCGGAGUGGGCGAUGUCGCUGCUGCUCAACCACCCGAACGCCCUGACGAAAGCGCAGGCCGAGAUGGACGCGACCGUCGGAACCACCCGCCUGCUCUGCGCCGACGACCUGCCCCGCCUCGGCUACCUCCACUGCGUCAUCAGCGAGACCCUCCGGCUGUACCCGCCCGUCCCGGCGAUGAUCCCGCACGAGUCCUCCGCGGACUGCACGGUGGCGGGCUACCACGUCCCGAGCGGCACGACGCUGCUCGUGAACGCGUACGCCAUCCACAGGGACCCUGAGGCAUGGAAGCACCCGUUGGAGUUCAGGCCGGAGCGGUUCGAGGAGGGGAAGGCCGAGGGUCUGUUCAUGAUGCCGUUCGGGAUGGGGCGGCGCAAGUGCCCCGGCGAGGCCCUCGCGCUGCGGAUGCUGGGCUUGGUUCUGGGCACGCUGGUGCAGUGCUUCCAUUGGGACAGGGUUGGUGAUGCUGAGGUUGACAUGGGUGAAGGAGGAGGGCUGACGCUCCCCAAGGCGGUGCCGCUGCAGGCGAUGUGCCGACCCCGGGCAGCCAUGACACAUGUCCUGAGGGGACUGUGA